rnacentral:tRNA from 1 species
CCGACUUGAUCAAUAAUCCGUUGUAGUCUAGUUGGUCAGGAUAUUCGGCUCUCACCCGAAAGACCCGGGUUCAAGUCCCGGCAACGGAAU